rnacentral:lncRNA from 1 species
AUUUUUAGUAACAAACACUUCAUAAUCAUAAGUAUCAAAGUAUUACAGAAUACAGAGGCAUGAAUACAAAAGAGCAUCUUUCAUUUGAUUUAUAUGUAAGUUCAGUAAAGAGCAAUUUGGCUGAAUUAACCCUCAUUCCGACUUGGUACAUAAAAAUACAUACCAAGGUUGUUUAAAAUUCAGAGUAUAAAAGAAUGCAAGCCUAAAAGAGGCCAAUAAUGUUUGCUUCCAUUUAAAAGUCCUUUUUUUAAUAUCUGGCAACGCAGGUAUGUCCCUAUAAGACCUAACUAGAUAAAACCAAGAGUUUAUUUUUAUCAAUAAAUUAUUCUGUCCCACUCAACUCAUUCUUCUUUCUUCUCUCCAUGCUAGAGACUCAAAGUACCCUGUUUCAGACUGAUGGAAAGAGUCCUAAUCUUAGCAGAAUUACCUUCCCAGAAUUUGACAUCUGCCUGGUUCUUGUCUAGUUCUAAUAAUGGCUACAGGCUGCAUGCAAGUCGCAGAAGAAUAUGAAACUCAAGCUGAAAAUAAGCUAGUAACUA